GCAGUGAGUGAAAGUAAAAGUGCUUAGCAAUGAUGAAAAAAUUGGACCGGAUUAGAUUAGUCUAUUCAAUCGAUAAAUUGAUGAACAAGUUAGUUAUUUGGUUUAUUCAACCAAAAAGACCUGUUGAGCCCGUCCUUGAAUUGGUUCGAAAUAAGUUUUUAAUCUUUUUUAUUCAAUCAAAAGCAUUUUAUUAGUCAAAUAGACCUAAUGUUAAACAAUAAAGUUGGCGUAUAAUUUACUAUUACUUUUUGGCAUAUUUUUGUCAAUUUUUCAUCAUGCAACAUGUAUAAUAUGAAAAAUUCGUGUUAAUUUAAUGUUUUGUUAUACUCAAGCUUUUUAUUAUUUUAUGUUAAACUAUUAUUUUUAUAACAGGAGUUUGCAAACUUACACCGACUUAUAUUUUUUUUUAUAGAAAGAAUAAGUUAACAAGUUAUAAAUAUAAUUAUUUUAAAAAUCCACCCAAAUGUAGUAUUUUAACUUACUCAUUUUAAAAAAUUAGCAAAUGAUUGUGGAGUUUGUUAAUCUACACUUAAUUUUUUUUAGUUAGAAUAUAUUAAUAAAUUAUAUCAAAUAUUUUUUAAAAAUAUACUCGGUGGAGUUUGAUAAGUUCCUCUUUUAAAAAUAUUGUAAGAUGAGAAACAUAUUUCGAAUUUUCUAAGUUAAUACAACUUUGUCAAUAGAUACUCAUUUAUAAUUUCUUCUCAACUGUAAAGAAUGAUAUUGAAAUGUGUUAUUGAAUAAGAUCUCUUAUGUCGUGUAAAUAUUUGGCCAUACAAUACAAGUCGAAUUAUUUGCGCGGUUUAAAUUGAAUAUGAUAUGAUAUUUAAAAGGUCAAUAAUUUAUUAAUUUUUAAUUUAAUUACAAAUGAUGUUUACUCUGCCUGUAUAAAAAACAGAGAAAAAAUCAAAAUAAAAAAUGUUUACUAGCCACGGUGACUGCAAAUGGUAGCAAAAGGCUGCAUCCAGUUUAAUAAACUCGGAUCUUUCGCAUCUGCCAAAUGUUAGUGUUUUGUUUAACUCAAAUUUUAAAAAAUAGUUAUUAUUUAAAAAGAAAAAUGUUAGAAAUAUAUCAUUACAUUUUGAAAAAAGAAAUUAAAAUAAACACGAAAUUGGUGUUUUAUGUACGACUAUGGAUUAAUACAAUUUUAUAAUCAUUUGAUAUCUCAAGGGGAACUUAAUUAUGUAAAAUUAAUUUUAAUUAAAAGUUAAAUCGAAAGAAAGAGAUUUGUCUUUGAAAAAAUGUAGUUCAAAUUUAAGUAAAAUCAUGUUGUAGUGUUUGAGGUAGGUGCAUUUGAGGUAUUAAACGCAAAACCCCGAACAUAAUACGAAUGGUUAUGAGAAUAAAGACAAUGUUUGGUGUUGAUAGCGAAUAUGUUUCCAAUUCCACCUGACACUUCAUUAAGAACAAUGUUUGGUGUUGACUUUGACUUGCAUGAAGCACCCUUGAGUUCAAGCUUAUAGUUUGUUUCGACAACUUCAUAUAAGUUACAUUAAUUUUGUUUUGUGGUUUUAUGUUAUGGUUUUUGUUGUUUGCAAAGUUAGGAAGCAAAAGGAGCUAAAUGCGAAGGGCAUUGGAUAAUGAUUUGUUUAUAAAUUUGUUUUUCUCUCUUUCUGUGCCUCGAUGACACCGCUCCUUCAUUAUUUAUCUGGUCGAACCGAUGUUUCUUGCCCUUUUCUCUUCUCUUUUCCUAUUUCCAUGGCUACUCACUUCAAUCUGCAACAUCAACUAUUCAACUACUCCAGAUCCGUGGGAUUAGAUAUCAGAAGAAAAACAACUGCUCACGCCCUUCAACAUGUCAAUUCAAAUGGAUUAGAUGAGAGAAACAAUACUUCUUUGAACAGUGGCCUGUUAGUUGGAUCUUUUUCUGUAUGUUACACUUCCUUAAAGAAGUGUUCCUCAUUGACAGCGUCAACUAAGACUCAUUUUUCCUGUACUGAUCAAAGCAAAGAAGCAGAUGAGAUUACCAAUGUUUCAUCCAGUACCAGUAGUCAGCGAAUGGAAUUUAAUAGAGUGGAUUGUGUUGUGUGGUUAUUGCAUGAAUCUUCUAGGAGCUUUUCGCAAGCUAUCAACUCGCUUGGACUAGCAAGGAGUGGUCCUGCUCUUGCAAUGGCUUGGAUUGGGAAGGAUGUGCAUGAGUGGCAUAGACGUAUUGCUUAUCAGGUUGCAGUUUAUGCUUUAAUGAAAGCAGCAAUUGAUUUGGAGAUAUUGCUUUCACACGACCGACUAAAUGAAUCUUCCCCUGUUAAAGAGAUUUUGAGUCCAUUAAUGAAUCAAAUGGGAGAACACAUUGAAAUUCGACUGAAAAUGAAGCAUCCAUAUUUGGUGCAGUGGUUUAGAGACACUGAAAUGCCGCAAAUAGCAGGAUAUUUUAUUGCACUUCUAAAAAAGUGGUCCGUGGAAUAUGCAGGAAGCGGUAUUGCAGGAAUUAUUGUGGCUAUAACCUGUUGUAGUGCAGUGGUGAAAUUGAGCUCUAGGCGCAGCUGCUGCCACUUACCUGUAUUGUCUUUCGAAGAUGUUUUGGUCAAGCUCAUGGAUUUUUCACUCAGUCUUGCAUCUCUGGACAAGUUACAUCAGUUAGCAACUGAGGCAGGAUUUGAACUAAAUUUCUUGUCACAUUUUGGUGGGAAGGUUUUUCCCAGUGAUAAAACUGAGGACCUAGAGUUUUGGAUCGGUUUGGCCCAUAGGAAACUAUUGAAAGCUUUCAGUGAAGAAAGCAUGACUUCAAAGAAGCAAAAUUUUCAGCAAAAGAUUCCAACAGAUAGUUUGGCCACAUUAGGACUUUUUACAUAUCUUGGAAGAAGGACUAGAAUAUUUUUAUCAGCAAUGGGCAUUAAGGAUCUUGACGGAAUAGUUAAGGACUUCCUCAGUUACUUGGAAUGUGGCAUUCUUUUCAUUUAUCCUGAAUUUUCCUCAAUCCGAGUGUAUCAGUGUUUCAUGGAGGUGGUAACUGAUGAGAUAGGAUGGCUUGAUUUUUAUGCUUCAUAUGUUCAACUAAACUGCAAGGAGCAAAGGCCAAAACAUAAUGCACGCCAGGCAGAGAAAGAGAUAAUUUCUUCUGUAGUUUUUACUGUGUGCUAUGAUGUUUUCUCUGGGUUUGCGCACUUCAAUCGCUCAACUCAACAGUCAUUGGGCAUAGCUUCACGGAUGUACUUGCUUCAGUGUCAGGGUCUGCUAAGUAUUUGUCUGCAAGAUCACUGGGCUGCAUAUGACAAAUCAGGUGAAUCACUAAAUAUUGUGGAUCAUGCUGCAUUUGACAACACGUCAUAUAUGGGAAAUAUAAAUGGACCCAAGUUACCUCUGGUGUAUGAAGUGCAGCAGAUGUCACAUGAUUUAACUACAGAAGGAAGUCCAAAGAGUAAUUCUCGAAACAGUUGUAUAUUCAAAAAGCUCAUCUAUUUUGAUAAGAGGAUCGGUUUUAUUGAUGUAAAUUGCAUAAUAUAGAAUUCAGAAAAUGGCGAGCUAUGUUACUGCACAUGCUUUUUGCAUGUCAUGGAUGCAUGCUACAUGCUAAGAAGAUUCCCUAUUCUGCACCAAAUAUAUUUGCACAAGAUUUGGCUCCAAUUCCAGCAAUCACAAACAAGGAAACAUAUGGGAAAGAUUCCUGCAUUGACAAGCCAAAUCGUCAGCGUGAAAGUUUUAUCAAGAGAUACAGCACCAAGUUGGCAUCCACAAGUGCAGACCUCCGGAUGGGUACUUUGUUGCUCUUCAUAGACAUCAUGCUUGCCUUAGAGCUACUUGUAAGGAAAGUGCAUGGCUACAAGCCUUCAGGAAGUCAACAAAAGAGGCUG